CGGAGCUACAUAAGGUCAAUAGCGCGAGAGAAACUAUUGUUCGCGCCGAAAACUGAUAGAAAAUCGCAGUCAAGUCAAUGGAUAAUAAUUGCUUUUAUUAUUAUUAUAAAAAUAAACGUAAUUUAAAUUUUUUUAUUUUUUUUUUGAAACUGUUACUAUAUUAAUUUAAACUUAAGAAACAUAACAGUACUGGCAACCAUAACAAACACACAAGCUAACAAACAUGUUAUUUUUCCAAAACAGGCAGCGUAUCUCUCGCAGAUGAAAUAGCCAACAGUCGCACCUUUUCGACUUAUUUAUCUGUUUUUUUGACUUUGACUAGCUUUUGACGUGAUGUAAUUUCGGAGUAACAUGACAGCAAAUAGGACCCAGCAGAGCUCUCCGGCGAACCUCACCUGUCCCCAAACGCACUUUUACUUUUCCACCUGAAGUCGCCUGCAGAAUCCCGACAUCUGUCAGACUUAAAGAUAACGGCAUGUUUCCUGCAUUGCUCUGCAGUUUGUUGCUCCUGCACGGCUCUUUCGGGGAGGUCGUGUUCCGCUGCCCGAGCUGCACCGCGGAGCGCCAGGCGGCGUGUCCCAAGCUCACCACAUCUUGCGAGAUUGUCAGGGAACCGGGUUGCGGUUGCUGCCCGGUUUGUGCCCGGCAGAAGGGCGAGCUGUGCGGAGUCUACACGCCGAGAUGUGGCAGCGGUUUGAGGUGUUACCCAAGCGCGAAUUCAGAGUUACCGCUGGAGCAGCUGAUACAGGGAUUCGGACGAUGCGAGAACAAAGUGGACCUGGAGCCCACCAUGGCCAACCAGGAGUCAGGACACAGUGGAGAAGUAAAUGGCACACGGUCCCCUCCAGUAAAGAAGCCUGGCAAAGAAAACAACUACCAGUACAUUAAGGAAACAGCAGUGAAGCAGCAUCUCAACAACAAGAGGACCAGGAUGUACAGCUCCCUGGAUGAUCCCAAAACACCUCACCCCAGACAGAGCCAGUGUCAACAGGAGCUGGAUAGAGUGUUGGAGAACAUCUCCCGAAUGAUGUUCCAUGACAACAAGGGACCUUUGGAAAAUCUUUAUGACCUGAAGUUCCCCAACUGUGACAAGACAGGACAGUACAACCUUAAGCAGUGCAACAUGUCCAGCCAUGGACAGAGGGGCGAGUGUUGGUGCGUCAACCCCUACACUGGUGUCCAGAUACCCUCGUCCCCCAAAGUGAGGGGGGACCCUAACUGCAGCCAGUACUAUGGUGGUCCUGAGCUGGAACCGCCCACCACCCAGCAGAAAUAGACGCACCCUUGCCCAUAAGGGAGAUGCCCCGGGUCGUAAAUGAGGAGAGUUAAAGCGAGUGCAAGAGCGAUGUGCAUGUGUGUAAUUCUGUACGUGUAUGUGUAUGUAUAUUUUCGCAAUAGUAUGAUCUGUAUUGUCGAUAGGAGUGUGGAAAGUAACAUGCCAGCACAGACAAGCAAGUCAAGGACAGGCUCGUCUGGUGCCUUUUAAUCUUGUGACUGAAUCUGGUUGCAGGGAGUCUCUUAUACAGCAUUUGCAGCUGUUCGCUGUGAAGAUGUGUCCCUUUAAAUCUCCCUUUUGUCUAUGGAUACCCAAUAAAAACGGUGGUGCUUUUUUUUUUUUUUGCAACAUUGGUUGCCAGAAACAAACAACAACUGCAAAUGCACAACAGCAGAAGCUUGACAUUGAUUUAAAAGUGAAUCCCAAAUUUUGAAACCAAAAAUUGUGAUAGAGAAAACAGAGAGGUCAUUUUUGGCUGAUUUGAGAGGAUCUGUGCAAGAGGGGCUGGAGAUGUGCUUUUUGGCUAUUUUGACUACUUAAGUACCUGAUAGAUAAAUCAACCAUGAGUACACAAGUGUUUGUAGAUGUGCAUCAAACUGGCAUCGUUUCCGCAUAAGUGUUGCAUUAUUAAGACCAUGCAUUCAAAACAUUUUCAAAAUGUGUCUCUUAACCAGUGCUUUUCUUUCCAAUCAUUUGCUUCAGGCUGAAAGUCCCCACGUACGUGAGUUGCUAUACGGUGUCACCGCAAAUUGCUGCCCCAUCUAACCAAUUGGAGUGCAAGGUACGAAAGGCCCAAAAUGUCAAACAAUCACUAAAUUAAAAACGAGGCCCCUUUUUUGACACACAUUACUGAUCUUCAUUCAGCAUAAUAUGUUUUGAAGUUCAAGUGUGUUUUUACAAUCGAUUAUUGCUGUAGCUUCCAAAUACUCAAGGUCUGGCCAUCCCUGUUCUUGGUGACUGAUAGACCUCUGUUCUCAUGCUGCUUCUCUACCAUGUGGUAGAAUGCAGGUGGUGUAUGUGUGUGUUUGUAGAGUGGAGAUCAACAUUUACUAAUGAUGUGCUGACAGAGGGCUAGAUUAGGACACAGGGCUGACAUUGACAAUGUGAUAUAAAGUGCGUUAAGUGCCUAUAAAUAAACACAGGUUUGCCUGCAGUGCCUGUGGGCUGUGCCUCACCUUGCUUCACUCUCAUCUGCAGAGGGAUGUGUUGGAGGUUGGCAAGGGUGAUUUUGCCCAGCGUAACACUUGAAUGGGGUUAGUUAGAGAGUCCUGUGAAGGAAUGUGAAGUGGUGCAUGGGUUUAGUGAGCUUGUUUAACCAAUUCUUAUACCAUUUUCCCCCCAGCUGAGUGAAAACAUGCAUUUUAUUCCAUGAACAGCCCAAUGCAGCAGACUUUAAACAAACAAACAAAUAAAUAAGAUCCAAUAGAAAAUUACAAACAAUAAAGUAACAUACAGUGGAAUCAAAAAUCUGAACCUGGGAUUCAAAAUCCAAUUGAAAUCUAGAAAUAAAAUAGUUUUAGGAUCCUGAACUUUUUUAAACAGGAAAAAAAAUCAGAUUCUGUAAUAUCUAGAUCACUAAUCAAUAAGUAAAUUUGUCAAGUUUGGGAUCGGUAAGAUUAUUCACAUUUUUUUGGAAACUCUUGUUUUUUCCUCAAGAUUCUUUGAUAAAUAGAAAGUUUAGAAGAACAGAAUUUAGCUGAAUUAGAAAGCUUUUGUGAUAUUAUAAAUGACUUUACUGUCACUUUUGAUAAAUUUACUGCAUCCCUGCAAAAUAAAAGUAUCAUUUUCUUUAAAAAAAUCUUACUGAUCCCAAAAUUAUGCAAACAGAUGCAAAAAAAGAAGCAUUCUAGAGUCUAAAUAGAUGUGACCAGUGGGAUUUAAUGGAUUAACUUGCUCUGUCAGCAGGUGUGAUCUGUAAUGCCCCGUUCACAUGGACACACAGCGGUUUUAUCGCUGAAGGCCACCAGAUCAAUGCACUGUUGGAUUGUACUGGGCGUUCCUACUACGCUAUGUUCUGACGUCAUUGAUGGCCUGUGUAGAUGACCACAGCUUCUGAAAAUCUGAUCAGAAAUGAGUAUCCAGGUGCUGCUCAUAAAUUUCAACUUUUUAAAAUCUGAUUCCCUUAUUUUCAGUGUAGCCUUUUGGAUGCCACUGUAUGAGACGUUAUUGUCACAUCGCUGGAAACUGACAUCACUGUCAGUUUGAACAGCAAUCAAGGGUUGUCAUUCCUUGAUUAAGUUAUAUUUUCAUUCACUACCCAUAUCUCUUACUCUUUUUACCUCUUCCCCAUCUGUCUCUCUCUUUCCCAUCCUCUCCCUCUCUGUGAGUGUUGAAUUUAACAGCUCGAUCCAGAAAUAGAAGUCGAUUAAGCUUUAACAUUGAUGCUAACGUGUUAGACAGUGUUCAGUCCAGUGUUUGCUUUUGUAGUUUAGCCUUUAUGAUAUAUUACCACAUUAACCUUCAGUAUCUUUCACAGUAUUACCACAUCUUGCUCGCCCUUAGUAGUAGCUUACAUGUAUUUACUUUAUCUAGUUAGCAUUGUGCUAACUACCACAACAGACUGGCUCUCCAAAAUCACGCAGCCUCGUGUGAUUUUGGUGCCUCACGGAUAGAUUUGCUGAGACACGGGCUACGAGUGUUCCGUUUCGGUUUAUUUCCAAAAUAGAUCGCUGACUGCCCUCCGGUGGCACAGUUAAUUUUACGGUAGCUCUAGUUUGGCCUAGUUUGAAAACAGUGCGAAACCAAUCCCUGUGGUUUUCGGGCAUAUUGAUUUGCCAGAGCGGCUCUGAUGGGAUGGAAGUGUGCACGUAUGCAUGUGUGUGUGUGUGUUUGUGUGUAUUUGUGUGAACGUUUCGAUGCUGUGCCAUGCCUGGAGCCAGUGUGACGGUGGGAAGGAUUGCUUGCCAUCUGGUGCAGUGUAAAACUGUCAGAGCCGGUCUCUGCUUUUGGAGAGUCUCACACAAAUGACAGUGGGAAUUUCUUGAGCAAAUCCAAACGCCUUGUGCCAUGCCAGCAUCUCACAUGCCUUUUUUUUCUGUAAUUCAUUGCAUAUUCUGUGUGUCACGAGAUGCGGUGGUAUUAAAUAACAUACAUUACUCAAUGCAUGCUCCGUGUGUCCACUGUCAUGCGAAUGGUGCAUGAACUGAGUUUUCUGUACAACUGCAAUGGAAAAAGCCAUAAAUGCAUGCAAAAAUAGACAUUGGUUUUAAAUUCUUGUAAUAAAAUCCAGCAUGAUUAAAAGUA